rnacentral:tRNA from 1 species
AAGGGUAUAGUUCAGCGGUAGAGCGUGUGCUCAGCAUGCACAGGGUCCUGGGUUCAAUCCCCAGUACCUCCA